GUCCUAGCCGUAAACGAUGGGCACUAGGUGUGGGAGGUAUCGACCCCUUCCGUGCCGCAGCUAACGCAUUAAGUGCCCCGCCUGGGGAGUACGGCCGCAAGGUUGAAACUCAAAAGGAAUUGACGGGGGCCCGCACAAGCGGUGGAGCAUGUGGUUUAAUUCGACGCAACGCGAAGAACCUUACCGGGGCUUGAACUGCAGAGGACUGCCCUAGAAAUAGGGAUUUCCCGCAAAGGGACUUCUGUAGAGGUGCUGCAUGGCUGUCGU
rnacentral:rRNA from 1 species